AUCUGCUGAGGAGAAAUAAAAUGAAUAUGCGUAUCCAGUCCUCCUGCCGUGAGGAUAAGUCCCUCUCCCGCCAGAGCUUCUGUAGACGCUCCCACUGUCAUUCCUGGUGUUACGCCAUCCAUCACAGAGGGAUUUCCGGCUUUUCCAAUACCUGCUAUCACACCAUUCUUAAUUCCGACAUCUGCUUUGUAAAUUCCCGUAUAAUCUACGAUCAAAGCAUUUGUGAUAACUAAAUCCAGAUCUCCGUCCGCACUUGUCGUCGUAACAGACUGUCCCAUCCCAUCACG
rnacentral:sRNA from 1 species